rnacentral:lncRNA from 1 species
UGUGUGUUAGUGUACCUUUAGGUUCUAGGUUCGAAGUCUCAUAUGCGUUUUGAGGAGUUGUUUUAUUUUUGUUUUGUUUUAAAAGUUUAAAAAUUUAUUUUUAUUUGUUUUAAUUAUUUUUACAUUUUAUUUUUUUAUUUGAAAAAAAGAUAGAGGUUUUCAUGUUCUUUUCUCCUUGGCACGUUUCCCAUUUUCUUCCUCCUAUUUUUGGAUUUCUCAAGUUUAGGGUUUUGAUCUUAAAAAUUGUUUUGAGGAUUUUCAUUUUGGGCAUUCA